GCGGAUGUAGCCAAGUAGAUCAAGGCAGUGGAUUGUGAAUCCACCAUGCACAGGUUCAGUUCCCGUCUUUUGCC
rnacentral:tRNA from 1 species